ensembl:lncRNA AABR07065590.1
AUCAACUCUUCGUGGACUAGAACUGUGUUUCUGAGUAGUAGGCCAUUGAGGGGACUAAGGUAGAGCCACUUUGAGGAGUCACUUGGUCAGCUGCUCUUCCCCCUUUAUGACAUCUGUCUCUCAGUUUUUAAGGCUGCACAUGGUUAAUUCAGUCACCAACUCUUGCUGGAGGAGGAGCUAGAGAACAGGAACAUAUUUUUUCCUCUGGCACACUAGCCUAUACCUCGGUGUGCACCGAGAAGACAAGGUGUCAAAGAUGCUGGAAGGGAGUGAACAUUAUCUGUCCUCACAGUUUCAAGUCAGGGACCUUGCUCUGGAGAAGAACAGAAGAAUCUGGUUUUGUGGAGACCUAGAACAGACGCAGGAGUGUCUGGGGAAAUGUGAGCAUCCAGGUGAAGGAGUACCCUUCUUCAAAGCAGCCCUGACAGCAGAGGAGCCUUGUCUGCCACUCCUGGACAGAGGAAGAAGAGCUGAGUGGUGUGAGUCAGCCCGCACCUUCUCUGCCACACAGAUGCUGGGACAUCAGGGGUGAGAAUGU